UGUCCAGGAGCGGGAAUCGAACCCACAACCUUCUGCUUACCGGGCAGGUGCCAUGCCCACAGUGGACAUGGCACCUGCC